AACGAACGCUGGCGGCAUGCCUAACACAUGCAAGUCGAACGAGACCUUCGGAUGUAGUUGCGCACGGGUGCGUAGCGCGGGGGAACCUGCCCUUAGGUUCGGAAUAACUCCCCGACGGGGGUGCUAAUACCGGAUAAUGUCUUCUGACCAAAGAUUUAUCGACUUUGGGUGGGCCCGCGUUGUAUUAGCUUGUUGCUAGGGUAAGAGCCUACCAAGGCGUGGAUCCAUAGCUGGUCAGAGAGACAGGGCAGCCACACUGGGACUGAGAAACGGCCCAGACUACUACGGGAGGCAGCAGUGGCGAAUAUUGCAAUAUCGGCGAAAGCCUGAUCCAGCAAGGCUUCGUGAGCGAUUAAGGCCUGAGAGUUGUAAAGCACUUUUACCCGGGACGAUAAUGACAGUACCGGGAGAAUAAGCUCCGGCUAACUUCGUG
rnacentral:rRNA from 1 species